AAUGAGUAUACAUAUUUAAUUAAUAUUACCAGAUCAUUUUCCCCAAAAAACCAUUUAGGGCUGAGCCCAGCAGGCCAUGAACAGCAGCAGGAGGCAAACAGAUUCCUGGGUGGAAAGGGCCACGUCCCUGGUAGGGCCUCACCUUCAGGCCUGGGAGGGCCGUGAUAAAUGCCCAGUAGUAGGAUUGCUGGAUGAUAUAGUGGUUGUUUUUAUAGUUUUUAAAGAACCUCCAUACUGUUCUACAUAGUGGUGGUAUUAAUUUACAUUCUAAU
rnacentral:lncRNA from 1 species